rnacentral:rRNA from 1 species
GAUGAACGCUGGCGGCGUGCUUAACACAUGCAAGUCGAGCGAGAAGUUUUGAAAAGAUUCUUCGGAUGAAAUUUAAAAUGGAAAGCGGCGGACGGGUGAGUAACGCGUAGGCAACCUGCCCCAUACAAAGGGAUAGCAUUUGGAAACGAAUAUUAAUACCUUAUGAAACUUAACUAGUGCAUGCUAGGUAGGUCAAAGAUUUAUCGGUAUGGGAUGGGCCUGCGUCUGAUUAGCUAGUUGGUGAGGUAACGGCUCACCAAGGCGACGAUCAGUAGCCGACCUGAGAGGGUGAACGGCCACAUUGGAACUGAGACACGGUCCAAACUCCUACGGGAGACAGCAGUGGGGAAUAUUGCACAAUGGGGGAAACCCUGAUGCAGCAACGCCGCGUGAACGAUGAAGGCCUUUGGGUCGUAAAGUUCUGUUCUAGGUGAUGAAAACUGACAGUAACCUAGGAGAAAGCCCGGGCUAACUCCGUG